ACGGAAGGCAGCAGUGGGGAAUAUUGGACAAUGGGGGAAACCCUGAUCCAGCGACGCCGCGUGAGUGAAGAAGUAUUUCGGUAUGUAAAGCUCUAUCAGCAAGGAAGAAAAUGACGGUACUUGACUAAGAAGCUCCGGCUAAAUACGUGCCAGCAGCCGCGGUAAUACGUGUGGAGCAAGCGUUAUCCGGAUUUACUGGGUGUAAAGGGAGCGUAGACGGCAAAGCAAGUCUGAAGUGAAAUCCCGGGGCUCAACCCCGGAACUGCUUUGGAAACUGUUUAGCUAGAGUGCAGGAGAGGUAAGCGGAAUUCCUAGUGUAGCGGUGAAAUGCGUAGAUAUUAGGAGGAACACCAGUGGCGAAGGCGGCUUACUGGACUGUAACUGACGUUGAGGCUCGAAAGCGUGGGGAGCAAACAGGAUUAGAUACCCUGGUA
rnacentral:rRNA from 2 species